UACAGAGGGGGCAAGCGUUGUUCGGAAUUACUGGGCGUAAAGGGCGCGUAGGCGGCCUGUUAAGUCGAACGUGAAAUCCCCGGGCUCAACCCGGGAACUGCGUCCGAUACUGGCAGGCUUGAAUUCGGGAGAGGAAUGCGGAAUUCCAGGUGUAGCGGUGAAAUGCGUAGAUAUCUGGAGGAACACCGGUGGCGAAGGCGGCAUCCUGGACCGGUAUUGACGCUGAGGCGCGAAAGCCAGGGGAGCAAACGGG
rnacentral:rRNA from 1 species